ACAAAAAUGGUUGCUGUAGCCCUGCCUGAUUUUGUACACGUUUGUCUAAGAAUUGAGUUGGCACUUAAGCUCACUUCUCAAAGUAUAAUAAUAUUGUAUGACCUCAUUUGUCCUUUCACAAAAGCACUUGCAUCAUUUCCUUAAGUCAUCUGCUCCCUGACAUGUUUUCUUCCCUAAUAAACAACUUCUGUCUGUUAUUCCUGCCAAUGAUGUUCUGUUUCUGAUGCCAUAUCCUAUUGAGCGUGCCCCUGUACUAAUAUCAUUGAAAAUAUUGAUAUGCAAACACAUUUCCUUUUCAUCCCCAUUCUAUCUUUCCCUUUGGGGACAGAUUGCUUUCCAAAAGCUCAUGAACAAAUAUUUGGAAUGCUGGUACCUUUGGGGCAGAGGUAAGGGUGGGCGGGGUGGGGGCAGAAAGGUAAUGCUUAAUGCAGAUAACUCUUCUAAUCAGUGUCCAUGGCAAUAUGAACGCUUGAAGAAAACUCAGUGACAUAUCUUGCUCAGUAGUUUCUUAUUCCUGAAGAACCACAAGCAUAAAGUGAGGCCUCAGUGCUGGUGCUCUUGGAGUAUGGGGAAUGUGCAAAUAUUUAACUGUUUUGUAUGCUGCACAUUGCAGGUCUGCUCAUGUGCAUUCUCCCUUUGUCUUCCUUUGUCAUAUGUGUUUUUGCUUUUUUGAAAGUGCAGUCUUUAUUGUACCCUCCUCCAGCUUGUAGCAAAUUAGAAUGCUUAGCAUUUAUGUUCAUUCAUUAUUGUAUUUGCCAUGUAAAAUUUUUAUUACCUUAGACAAGCUUAUAAGCUGUUACUACAUAACUUAUCUUACUGUAACUCUUUUAUUUCCCCCGACGUUGUAAUUUGUUUGUGAUGUAUAUUGUGAAAUUGUAUUCUAUGUUAAUUUAAUCAGCACAAUUCACUGACAUGCUGGACUGACAUGCUGGCUGCUGUUUCAAAGUGUAAAGUUUGUGUAGGGCUGUUGGGACAACUGCAACUCUGUUGUCAAGGUACUGUGCUUUGGUUCCUAUAGCAACACUGGGUGUGGCCCUUGAAUUGCUAAGGGCAUUUAAUACAUCCUGGAGCAAAUUUUAACUGCAGAUUUUCUUUGUAGAAAUUCUAUGUAUAAUGCAGGUACCUACUUGGCCCAUGGCUGGUAACUAUUUGGGCAAUUAGAAAAAAAGAAAAAAACAUAAAAACUAGUGUCUAUUGCUGCUUUGAAUAUGUUUGAAAGUCUGAAAAUGUAAAUAGUUUAUCAAAAAAAAAUCUUGUACAGUCCAGUGUAAAGUUUUUAAAUGACCUUAAGGGUUGCCAUCACAUCUUUCUCACACUCUCCUCUUGAUAAUAAUAAUAAUAAAAAGUUUGCUAAGGAUUAAAGAAAUGGGAAAAAUAAAAAAAAUCUCUUCAAAUUUACAGGAAUGAAUCAUUGUUCUUAGCUUUGUUGCAUACACAAACUUCUUGGAUUUUGUUGUGCAGUAUUGACGUGAGAUAAAGCUCAACAUUGAAUAAUCUUUCAGUGGUACUUUUCAAAGUCUUCCCCUCCUCUGCCUCAUAAUUAAGGGAAAAGACAAAAUUGAAAGACACACUGUCUUUAUCUAUCCUGGUGUAUGUUGGCACCUUAGCUACUUUUUUUUUUUCCUUUUUGCACAAGGUGCUUUCCUGAUAUGUUCAACAUGCCAUCUUUGGGUGAUAAUGUAUAUGCCGUGAUGGGGCUCAGGCCCCUUAGGGGAGUGUCUAUAAGAACUGCCUAUUUAUGCUCAUUUACCUCAAGACUGUCCUCUCUACCCUAAUCUAGUUGUCAUCACUCCAUCUUUUGUACUGCUGUUGACACUUACAAAUUAAAGAUAAAUUUUGUUUUAUG
rnacentral:lncRNA from 1 species